GGAGCCGCAGCUGCAGCCAGCUGUUCCUCGUUCUUGCGCUGCAGAGAAAUACUCAAAUUAGACACAUGAUCAUGCUUCAGUUGUGUUGGUACGUAGCAUCUGCAGUCUGAACCGGCAUAUGCACAUAGGAUAUCACACGAGGAUACGAGGUUUCUGUAGGACAACAAGGUGGUGACGUUACUACCUUCUGUUUCAGCUUAGCGAGCUGCUCUUCAAAGAGCCGUGCCUGGAAUGCAAGAUAAGCAAGUACUGUUACAUUGUCCUCUCAGCCUCUGUUCAUAUGUAGAUUCAUUGUUGGCUAGAAUCGAAUGUAGAGUGGCGAAUAGCUAACCUUUCUAGCUCUGAUGCUAACGAGGCUUUUCUCAAUCUUGACCUCUAAGCUUUGCAGUUCUUCAAUAGCGCAUUCUUCCAAAUUACAACCCAGAAGUUUCCUGCAUCUCAACAGCACUGGAUGGUCACACACUGAGUUUUUUGCUAGUACACGCUGCUACCGGUCUCCUGAAAACCGAAAUGGUUACCUUUUGUAAGCAUCAAGUGCUUCAAGCUUCUUUGACAAACCCUCAGCAUCAGCUUUUAUUUUCUGCGACAGAGACCAUGUAACUCUUGAAAUUGUCAAAUUAAAAACAAUCGCUAGGUGUACCAUCAAUCAGGUAUGUUUAUAUCCAGAGUCCUCAUGCUAAGCAUGGGACUGAAACGUAGUUCCAUAGUACGUUUGGAAUAAUUUAAAUUCAAAAUAUGUGAUAAUUCCUCGGUCAUGAAAUAUUAUUCAGAACUUGUGAUUAUUCUGAAAAGUUCAGCUAUGCUAACUCAACGCCAGUGCUUCAGUCCAUGGUGGUUUUAGCAUUUCAGUACAAGCAGCAUCUAUUCAGAGUAUUUGGAAAUGGCAGCAAACCAACUUGAGCAUUGGAGGCAUAUAUAGGUUACUAAAUACCAAGUUGCUGACUAUCUUAAACUUUCAGUGAAGAGAAAAGCUUGUUACAAAACAAGAUAAGUAUUUCCAUACUUAAUUUUUGUAACCAAAUGUGACAAAAUUAGUAUGCCAAUAAGCAAAGACCUAUAUACCUCUAUAUCUUGCUGUACCGUCUGGCUUCUGAUGUUGUCCUUUGUGCUUGUUUUAUAGCGUUCAAUUGUUCUCUGCAUGCUGAUUCCAAAUACAAAUGUGAAGACAUGUCAGAAUAAUAUAACACAGCUCGAUCCAUUGGAGAAAAAUGUAGCUAUAUUUCAUCCAGUAGUCCAAAAUAUUUGGUGGGUCCUUCCUAUGGUUUCAUGAAUAUAGAUAGAAUUUGUUAUGAACUAGAAAAAACGUACACUAAUUACAAAAAAAAAAACAAAUGUUGAACAUCAGCUAUACAUCAUUUUAUAGCUCCAAUCAAGAGCUCAGCAUCAAUGUUAGGCAUAAUAUAUCUAGGACUUGUGCAUAGGUGUAUACUUUGAAAAACACUUACGGAGUGCCAUGUAUUGACACAAAGCUGUGGGGAUGAGUAAUUAAACGUCUGAUUGGUCGACCUUUUCCUUAAGAGAGUAUUGAAAACAAUGUUAGUGUAUUUGUUUUGUCCAACUGACGGAUAUGCUACAGUGUAGUUUUUCAACAGCAUGAGAAAAAUCAAGUGUGAUUCUAGUCUGGUAGACAGUAGAUUUUUGGGCUACUCGCUUCUGAACUCUAGAAUAAUUACUUAGCCCCAUUGUAUGUACUUCUAUCAACCAGUGUGAUGACAGAGCACAAUUUCAUGAGCGGAUGGUUUUGAUUGUUAGUGACAUAAUAUCAAUGGUAAUUUAAUUUUAAAAAACAAGAAUAACCUACUCAGUUCAGUUUGUAAUGCAGAAAAUUCACCAGCUAGUGACAUAGCUAGCUCAGUUCAGUAGUAUUGAGAACUGAGUUCCAGCUCGGUGGCAAGGCAAGCGAGUGCGCAGCCAGCCCACCCGGGUUCUAAUCCCCAUCUCGCGGUAAUUUCGCGGGAGGGGCGAACUUUAAUCGGGUUAUCAUCCUAGCGUCCAUCCGCGGGGAGAGUCUCAUUUCUUCCUAACAACGUAUAGCCAAGGGAGGGAUCAUUCCCCCGUUGGUCAACGUUUUAGGCUUUUGCGUUUUCGCGAAAAAAGUUCAGUAGUAUUACUAAAGCACGGCCAUUCUUACAAACUAAAAGCACUACAACAUAAUUAGGUCAUUGCAAGAAAUGAAAAGAAAAUGUUGGGCACAGUAGUGGUUUUCUCAGUGUGUCUACACUUAAAGUUGUAGGUUCCAGAAAUUUAAAAUAAGAAAAUAUUUAAAAAUGAAAAUUUUGACUUAACAAAAUACAGAAUUUUUGUUUGAUUAUAUGUGUUUUUAAGAGUCAGAAACUAGAUUGCGGCAUUUUUAAUGACCCCACACAUCAUACAAUAGUAAUAAUAUGAAAAAUGCAUUGGAAGGUCCAAUGUGAUUUUCUGUCCAAUAGUAUUCAUGUAUAGUACGAGAUAUACCAAAAGUGUGUAAGUAACAAGGCGCGAUGAAACAUGCAAGACAAAUGAAAAGAAAUUUGUUUAAGGCAAAACGAUUUCAAAGAAACACAAAAAGAUCAUCAUGGCCCUUGCACAAGUAUUCUCAAACCUUCUAUGCGCUUGAAUCAUAUUAAUCAAAACAUCUCAUGUGAUUGUCACGAGUAGGGGUAAUCCACCAAGAGGUGAACCAUAUUCUAGAAGCAUUGGCCGCAAAGGAGGCACACAGUGGGAUAGGUUGAGCACAUUUAGAACGAAACUGACCCGAGAAGCAGUUUUUUCGUUGGAGUCCGGUUCUUGUUUUUCAUGUUUCCCCCAUUGACACCCCCCCCCCCCCUCCACCACAAUAUCUCUAGACCUAGUUGGCACCAAGAGUGUGCCAGUGACCAAGCAAAUCAUCGAACACUCAGAGUAAGAUUCUUGGUCUUGUUCUUCUACAUCAGUCUCUUUGUACUAUAUAUAUAGCUCAAUGGUCAUGGGUAAAAAUGUAUUGCGUGAAGCACAUUCGUCAGAUAUUUGGUCUUGAUAUUGAUUAAACCGAAGUUUCUAGAAACCUAAAGAUUGAACAAAAAAUGUCAACCCCUGUACUAGGAUGCCGAAGCCCUCUCUCCCCGCCAUUUGUACUAAAUUUGCUUAGUUGAGAUUUUGACCAACGUCCUUAUACAAUUUGGAGAAUAGGGAGAACUCAUAUUUCUCAUCAAUCUCAGCAUCCUUAUCCCAUAAAAUCAUGGGUACUGGAUAAAUAUCUUGCUGCACCAUCUAGCUUAUGCCUUAUAUCUUUUGAUGGGUAUUCCCCAAGAAUAAAACUUCCUUUGAUCCGAAAUGUAGUUCUUUUUUUGCCUAAUAAUAUGAUAACAGACAGGGAUUUCUACACUCUCAAUCCACUUUCUCAUGUUAUUCUAGUAGAGUGUAUCAUAAAUUUCUAGAGGGUGAGUCAAUGGUGACCCCAAGAAAUGAGAAAUGUGUUGUCUACCAUGAAUUUUAGGUUUUAGGGGUGGAGUGUAUGUGCUAACUCUAGGUUGGUUGUUUUCUAGAGGGUGUUCUAUUUACUCUACUACCUUUGGAUGCACAUUUUUGGGUACUUCCAAACACUCCAUCUUUUCUUUGAACGAAAGAUUGUUGUUUUGAUUUGGAGCCACCAAGUGUUUAAGCAUAGUACUUGUUGGGGUUAUGGCAACUAGUUUUUUUUCAUGACCGUGUAGUCAAUCUACCAAGUUUUCGUUGCAAACCUCAAUAACCAAAGAUCAUGAUUCCAAAUUCUACCGCAUCAUGCACCCACGAGGAUUUGCAAAAACAGUUGACUAGUGACUCUUUCCAAGGGUAUUACAUGUCACUCCGCCAUAACAUGUGUACUUGUUAACCUAUAGUGAAUAAUAGCAGGAGUAGGUUUCCGCCACUAUCGUGGAACCUGAACUUGGGUAACUCAUGUGAUCACCAUCCCGGACAUACACCCUCCUUACGCCCUAAUUCUCCCCUUGACGUGAGCUACCACCCAUGGGUGUCGUGUUGACAAUUCCACAACAGUUGGCACCCACCAUGGGGCAAAAGGCGUUUGGAGUCGUCUUCAACUUGAUCAACAAUGAAUCGCGAAAAAAUCAUCCCGAGACUGGGAAACUUGGGACUCGACAUCAGCACUAACACUGUGCAGUUGGUCAUAGUUUAGGAUAUUUUCAGUGGUCUUCCAUGGCGGCUUCACCCCUGUCCUGAAGGUAUUGUGGAUUCUCGAGGCCUUUCAAAUAGGCAAGACCUCUUGGUUUGGUUCGCUGUUAGUACUUCCAAGAAAGUACCUACCCCGCUUUGAUUGUUUAAAUUUUGAACCUGUUAGGUACCACAAAAUCUUAUAGGAAUCUAAAAACACAUGUCUUCCUCAUGUACAAUUGAAUUUACAAUUGCCUACAUAUAGGUGCUCUUGCUCCUUGGGAGGCAAAGAAAAAUCAUCUAAAUAUUUACUUGAGAUCUUUGGUGCUUUGAGUGAUUCCUUUGGCACUGCAAGGGAUCAAGAUCCAACUCAAGACCAUGUGUUGUUAACUUUUAAAGGGUGUGUGUGCUUGGAAGCGUUUCUG